rnacentral:tRNA from 1 species
UCCCCAGUGGCUGAGCGGUAAAGAAUCUGCCUGCAGUGUAGGAGACCCAGGUUUGAUCCCUGGGUUGGGAA